CGUUUUGGGGGUGGGAUAGAAUGCGAGUCGUGCGUCUCUAAGCCAUGGUAGAGGCGCGGCGUACGGCUCAGUAACACGUGGUUAACCUACCCUUAGGACAGGAACAACCCCGGGAAACUGGGGACAAUUCCAGAUAGGCGAGGAAGUCUGGAAUGACUCCUCACCCAAAAGAUAUCCGAACCAUGCUUUAGAUGUCGCUCAAGGAUGGAGCCGCGGCCGAUCAGGUAGUUGGUAGGACAAAGGCCUACCAAGCCUAUAACCGGUACGGGCCGUGAGAGCGGGAGCCCGGAGAUGGGAACUGAGACAAGGUCCCAGGCCCUACGGGGCGCAGCAGGGGCGAAACCUCCACAAUGCACGAAAGUGCGAUGGGGUUACCUCGAGUGCCGUCUGAAAAAGGCGGCUUUUCCAUGGUGUAAUAAGCCGUGGGAAUAAGGGGGGGGCAAGACUGGUGUCAGCCGCCGCGGUAACACCAGCCCCCCGAGUGGUGGGGAUGAUUAUUUGGCCUAAAGCGUCCGUAGCCGGCUCGGUAAAUCUCUCGUUAAAUCCAGCGUCCUAAGCGUUGGGCUGCGAGGGAGACUGCCGAGCUAGAGGGUGGGAGAGGUCAGCGGUAUUUCUGGGGUAGGGGCGAAAUCCAUUGAUCCCAGGAGGACCACCAGUGGCGAAGGCUGCUGACUAGAACACGCCUGACGGUGAGGGACGAAAGCUGGGGUAGCGAAUCGGAUUAGAUACCCGAGUAGUCCCAGCCGUAAACGAUGCAGGCUAGGUGUUGGGCCGGCCACGCGCCGGCUCAGUGCCACAGGGAAGCCAUUAAGCCUGCCGCCUGGGGAGUACGGCCGCAAGGCUGAAACUUAAAGGAAUUGGCGGGAGAGCACCACCAGGCGUGAAGCCUGCGGUUUAAUUGGAGUCAACGCCGGG
rnacentral:rRNA from 1 species